CCUCUGGCUGCUGGCACCCCUUUCCCAGGGCUGCAGGGUUUUACAAGAGGAUCCCUGGAGCCUGCUGCAGUGCUAGGAGUUGUGUAUCUUCUUCCCAACCCAUAACAUCUGCUAACAGUAUUCAGCAGGCCCCAAAGGAGUGAGGAAAGGGGAAGGACUCUAAUUUUGGAAGUAGAAGAAUGACAAGAGGAUCUCCACUGAUUGGACAGCUCUUCUACAUGGAAAAAUAUAUGUUGACUCUCUAGAGUUCUUUAUGAAAGAAUGAACUGAAAGUCAGGAAAGCCAGUGAGUGCUAAAUAAAUUUCACAGCAUUUUAAAUAUCAUAAAGGCAACAAGAAUGUGAGCCUUUUUAGGAAGGAAGAAAGCAGAAGGAGGUAACUUAGAUUAAUCUGAACAUUCUAAGAAAUCAUAAAGUGAGAAGAAAACAAAAAUCAGAGAUUUCACCAAGGAAUAUGCUCAGGUAUCAAGGGACAAAUAAUUUUGAAGGGGGAGCUGAGGGUCUAAUAUCCAGACACCAGCUCAGCAGGGCUUUGAGAGAUCUCUGAAUAAGACAGGAGACAUAAUCAUUGUCAUUUGAGAGACAAUUCUCUAAAGAAUUGAAGAGAAGAGAUACUGACAGGAAAUGCAGACAGAAAUCCUGCCAUGAGCAACCUCUCCAAAGCAGGGAUAUUUCCUCAUCAAAAUAUUCAGAAUAGUGCCAUAAGCUGUGUAAGGGAACAGAUUGACAGGCAGCACAGAGUCAAGAUUAAUGAUGAGUCUCUAACCAUAUAAUUGCAGCUGAAUAUCUGAGUGCAGCAAAUCACACCAAAUAUAGUGAAUAUAAUCAAAUGCACUUCCCGUGCAGGGAAAAUAUCUCUCUGGUGCUCCUGCACAUGCCUGGUUCCCAGAUGAAUCUGUCAAAUUCUUGUUUCAAGCUUUCAAAACCCAGUCAGAGACACUGUCUGUAUGAGGGUGGUUACCCAUAGAACAGCAAAGCCCAUUUCCUGGGGUUGCUGGGCUCCUGCUGCCAUGGCUGAUCCACGGCUGCAGUGUUAUGCAGGAUCAGAAGCCCCAAAGUGGGGCUUUUCUGUUUUCUACAGCAAUCUGGUCACCACCAUGAAUCCCCCUCUUCCUCUGUGCCACCAAAACACAAGAUAUAGUCCAGGAAAUGACCCACAAAUAACCUGAAACUAACUCUAUAAAUGCUGCCCCUUACUCUGGAGGAGUGAAUAGUGAAUGGCAGCACUGACAUUGCUCUGGGGAGAGACAAAGCUCACACAUUCUGACUGCUGAUUCCUACUCUAUGUAGCAAAUUAAACUUGACAUGCACUCCUAUAAAUCCAACCUGGCAG